UUCUGGCUCAGGAUGAACGCUAGCGACAGGCUAACACAUGCAAGGUCGAGGGGCAGCAUAAAAGUAGCAAUACUUGGUGGCGACCGGCGCACGGGUGAGUAACGCGUAUGCAACCUACCUAUCAGAGGGGAAUAACCCGGCGAAAGUCGGACUAAUACCGCAUAAAACAGGGACACCGCAUGGUGAUAUUUGUUAAAGAAAUUCGCUGAUAGAUGGGCAUGCGUUCCAUUAGGUAGUGGUGAGGUAACGGCUCACCAAGCCGACGAUGGAUAGGGGAACUGACGAGGUUGGUCCCCCACACUGGUACUGAGACACGGACCAGACUCCUACGGGAGGCAGCAGUGAGGAAUAUUGGUCAAUGGGCGAGAGCCUGAACCAGCCAAGUCGCGUGAAGGAAGAAGGAUCUAUGGUUCGUAAACUUCUUUUGCAGGGGAAUAAAGUGCAGGACGUGUCCUGUUUUGUAUGUACCCUGAGAAUAAGGAUCGGCUAACUCCGUGCCAGCCGCGGC
rnacentral:rRNA from 1 species